rnacentral:rRNA from 1 species
AACGCGAAGAACCUUACCUGGGUUUGACAUGGGCGGAAAUCCUCCAGAGAUGGGGGGUCCUUCGGGGCCGUUCACAGGUGGUGCAUGGCUGUCGUCAGCUCGUGUCGUGAGAUGUUGGGUUAAGUCCCGCAACGAGCGCAACCCUUGUCCGAUGUUGCCAGCGCGUUAUGGCGGGGACUCAUCGGAGACUGCCGGGGUCAACUCGGAGGAAGGUGGGGAUGACGUCAAGUCAUCAUGCCCCUUAUGUCCAGGGCUUCACGCAUGCUACAAUGGCCGGUACAAAGGGCUGCGAUACCGUGAGGUGGAGCGAAUCCCAAAAAGCCGGUCUCAGUUCGGAUCGGGGUCUGCAACUCGACCCCGUGAAGUCGGAGUCGCUAGUAAUCGCAGAUCAGCAACGCUGCGGUGAAUACGUUCCCGGGCCUUGUACACACCGUAGUAC